UCCGAAUGCAAAAACAUGGCCGAAUUGAGACGCUCGAUUACAUGAUCCAAAUUAUUUUGAUGACUCGAAGCAUUUGAAGACUUGUGGCGAUGAUUUGGCGGACAGUUUGAUUGAAGACAUUGGUAUACCUGCUACCAAGCAAAGGUUGUUCAAACCCAUGAGCUGCACAGAGAGGAGAAAGUCUAUGGAUUGUGGGUCCAGUUCUAUAAGAAAGGAAAGCGACAAUUAUAGACAUUGGAGGAGAAAUCUUUCUUUCUUUGUUGGGAGGAUAUCAUUAAACAACUUGCUAAACCUUUACUGUCUAUGCAUGGAUCUAGAUUAUACUACAAAUUUUGAGUGUUUGGUGUACAGUUACACUUAAUAGCCCAUCAGAAAGGCCGACAUGGUGACUGGUGCUUUUACAUCCAAUUUGGUGUAGACUGUUUUCAUACUUUCUUACAAAAACUGUUAGAAAUAUAAUAU